UUGUUUUAAGUUUAUAUAUAGUGACAAUAUCCUUUUAAAUUUUAUGAGAAGUCAAUUUAUUAUUUUUUGGAGCUUUUUUCAACACAAGAUCUCUAAUUCUAUCACACCGACUUGCAUACCAUGAAAGAAUUUCAAGAAAUUUACCCUUCUUCAAUGAUGAUUCAUCUUCACGAUGUCUAUGGAAUGCCAAUCCUGAAUUCAAAAGGAGUCUCACCACAUCACCAGAAGCUCGUAAAUGAAUUUUGUAUUCAAGAUUGGUUUGAUUGGAUGGCCUCACAAAUGUGGCUUGAAUUGAUUGUUCUUGUUGCAUUAGAUAUUCACACUUUUUCUUUGCCUGAUUGUGAUCACUAUUCGACCCUCUAACAUGCGUAUCUAAUCUUUUCUUUUUGUGCCAAUUUUUGAUUUCUAUACUUGAAAAUGCUUCACCUCCACCUUGAUGAAUGCUUUCAUCUUGAAAUAAAUAACAACAUAAACAAUAAGCGGCAUCUUCAAUUUCACUAUACUCCAACUAAUCAUAAUAUAUUUUAAACCAUUUAUGAUCAAAACGACGUUUUAAUCCAAAAAUAUCUCUUUGAGGAAACUCGCGAACUAGAGGUUGAUGAGGACCUCUUUGAAUAUAUGCUCGCCUAAUCUUAUCACGAUUAUUCGGAUGAUAUUUUCAAAUAGAUUUUCUUUUUUUUUGAUCUGCCGAUAAAGAAUUCAAGUUUACUCUUUCAUUUUGUUUUUUAGCAGAAUGAUAAUUCUUUUCUAAUUGAUUCAAGUUCUCUUUCACGAAAGUAGUAUUUUGAGUGGAUGAACUUGAUUGCAGCAACUUUGAUGAUACCAGAGCGAAAUAUCUCUUCAUUAAAUUUAGAACCUG
rnacentral:lncRNA from 1 species